rnacentral:tRNA from 15 species
GCCCUCGUAGCUCAGUAGAUAGAGCAGUUCCGUCCUAAGGAAAUGGUCGCAGGUGCAACUCCUGCCGAGGGCAC